rnacentral:rRNA from 1 species
AACGAACGCUGGCGGCAGGCUUAACACAUGCAAGUCGAACGCCCCGCCAGGGGAGUGGCGCCCGGGUGAGUAACGCGUGGAUAUCUGCCUUUUGGUUCGGAAUAACCCCGGGAAACUGGGGCUAAUACCGGAUGGUUCCUACGGGAUAAAGAUUUAUCGCCAAAAGAUGAGUCCGCGUACGAUUAGCUAGUUGGUGAGGUAAUGGCUCACCAAGGCGACGAUCGUUAGCUGGUCUGAGAGGACGAUCAGCCACACUGGGACUGAGACACGGCCCAGACUCCUACGGGAGGCAGCAGUGGGGAAUAUUGGACAAUGGGGGCAACCCUGAUCCAGCCAUGCCGCGUGAGUGAUGAAGGCCUUCGGGUUGUAAAGCUCUUUUGGCGGGGACGAUGAUGACGGUACCCGCAGAAUAAGCCCCGGCUAACUUCGUG